AUUAUGCUCUUUGAAAACUGGAAUGUAACGUUCCAUUUCAAUGCCCAUCAACCAAUGUCCCACCUGUAAAAGCAACACGAAACCAUAAUAAUCGUCUGACUUGGUAAAAAGAUUAGCAAAACAUAGAUGGCGUGAUCGUAACGAGCUUGCCGAUCAAUGUGGACAGAGACAACGCAUCAUCAGGUUUCACUAAAAACACUGCAAGUUUUGUAGGGAAAUUUUUUUACAGUUAUAGUAACAUUUUUCCAUGACAUUGAUCUAUUUAGUCGAAACGACGUCAAAUAACUUUUUUAAUUUUUUUUUUUUUUUUUUACAUUUUUCGCACUAAAAUACUAUAAGAUUUAGGGUUAUCUUCAUAUAAAGGCAAAUCUUUUCGAAAAUCCUAUACGUAUAUAGGGGAGUGGAUGCAAAACGUAGCUAUAUUCGAUCCCAUAUGCCAAAAUUACUAUUUUCCAUCAAUUGUUGUCAAGAAAUAUUACAAAUGGCACGACUUGUUCAAAACAGUACGUUACGGUUCGCAAAAGUAAUUCGAUUCGAUCCGUUGUGAAUGGAAUAAGAUUUCAUAUAAAUUCAAUUUCAUUAAAGUAUUUUGAAAAUUAAGAAUCAUAGAUAGAACAGAAAAAUACAUGGACAAACGGAUAAGCAAGCUUGAGACGAUUGGCAUAAUAAAAGGCGGACGUAUCUCAAUCUCUUUGAAGCGUUUCACACUCGACGCGAAUUCACCCUAUUUAACAGCAAUGAUAUCGAAUAUAAAAGCAAAAAAAAAA